UACGUAGGGUCCGAGCGUUGUCCGGAAUUACUGGGCGUAAAGAGCUCGUAGGUGGUUUGUCGCGUUGUUCGUGAAAACUCACAGCUUAACUGUGGGCGUGCGGGCGAUACGGGCAGACUGGAGUACUGCAGGGGAGACUGGAAUUCCUGGUGUAGCGGUGGAAUGCGCAGAUAUCAGGAGGAACACCGGUGGCGAAGGCGGGG
rnacentral:rRNA from 1 species